UACGGGGGGAGCAAGCGUUGUUCGGAUUUACUGGGCGUAAAGGGCGGGUAGGCGGCCACCGCAAGUCAGUUGUGAAAUCUCCGGGCUUAACCCGGAAAGGUCAACUGAUACUGCGGGGCUAGAGUGCAGAAGGGGCAACUGGAAUUCUCGGUGUAGCGGUGAAAUGCGUAGAUAUCGGGAGGAACACCAGUGGCGAAGGCGGCGACCUGGGCCAAUACUGACGCUGAGGUGCGAAAGCGUGGGGAGCAAACAGG
rnacentral:rRNA from 1 species